UACGUAGGGUGCGAGCGUUAAUCGGAAUUACUGGGCGUAAAGCGUGCGUAGACGGUUAUGUAAGUCAGAUGUGAAAGCCCCGGGCUCAACCUGGGAAUUGCAUUUGAGACUGUGUAGCUAGGGUGCGGAAGAGGGAAGCGGAAUUUCCGGUGUAGCGGUGAAAUGCGUAGAUAUCGGAAGGAACACCAGUGGCGAAAGCGGCUUCCUGGUCCAGCACCGACGUUCAGGCACGAAAGCGUGGGGAGCAAACAGG
rnacentral:rRNA from 1 species